rnacentral:lncRNA from 1 species
ACCGCAUCCAAUUAAUACUACAGCUCUCCCGCACUACUCGUAGUAGGAGUACUCCUACAUGGUAAUGGUGUUCGCUCCCCUAGUCGUCGUCUCCCCGUCCCGCUCCCCGCAACAUGCAAAGCGUUGACGUCCCCCUCGCAGCAACCUCCCCAUCUCCGUCCGCUGGAUCCGACCUCCCUCCCCCCCUUCCUUCCACCCCAAACAAAAACCCCACCGAACGAUCAAGAAUCGCUCUCCCAUCUCCACCUCCACCAUUCCACCAACGACUCGUCACCUUCACCUCUCCUAGCUAGCAGCUAGCUAGCCAACCUCCGUUCGCUUCGGUCCAGCGACGAGCGCGGCGUUGGGAUGAACGCCGGUGCCCCGCCGGCGCCCGGCCGGUUCACCCCGGGCGACGGCAACUCCGUGGGCAUGUUCAGCUCCGACCGCAUCGGCGGCUUCGGCUACGGCGUCGGCGUCUCCGUCGGUAUCCUCCUGCUCAUCACCACCAUCACGCUCGCCUCCUACUUCUGCACCCGCGUGCCGCCGCCCGGCCCGGAGGCCGCCGCCGACGCGGCGGACGGGACGGCGCGGCGGNNNNN